CUGCUAGCUUCAGCAGUAUAUAUACUGAAAUUGGAACAAUUCAGAGAUUAGCAUGGCCCCGGCGCAAGGAUGACACACACAUUCAUGAAGCGUUCCAUAUUUAU
ensembl:snRNA U6 U6 spliceosomal RNA